rnacentral:misc_RNA from 1 species
AAUUACAAUGAAAUCUCCGUUAAGAUCCGGGCACGUGGAGCACGAGGAACUUGCUUUCUAACCCCAACCACUCAAUCAUGUGUGCUCAAGUCCACGACAGCCAGCGUGCAUCAACCAGUCACGAACUCUCUUCGUUUACUCGGUGGCUUUGGUUAGAGACUUGAACUUCACCGCCGGACCGAGCGGCAACUCUGUGACGUCGACAGUGAAUGUAUCAUACCGGAGGAAGAAUUCCACCAGAAUAAUCCUGCCCAUCAGCACCACCAGAUUCUUCCCGGGACACUGCUUGUUCUCCGCCGUUGGCUGCACCGUCUCCCGGUCGUUUGACCAGUAAACAUAUUUCAGAAGCUUCUCCCCUUCUUCUCCGACGAACCUAUCACCGACGAACUCCUCCGAAUUCUCAAAAAUCUUCGGAUCUUUAGUAGCAAAUGGCUGAUAACCAAAAAUCGUCUCCCCUUUCUUGAUCUUGAAAGAAGAAUCAUGGCUCUGAAUCACGA